rnacentral:piRNA from 1 species
UGUCAGGAGUGCUGUAGACCUGUUUUCCUG